CAGCAGCCGCGGUAAUACGUAGGGUGCGAGCGUUAAUCGGAAUUACUGGGCGUAAAGCGUGCGCAGGCGGUUUUGUAAGACAGGCGUGAAAUCCCCGGGCUCAACCUGGGAAUGGCGCUUGUGACUGCAGAGCUAGAGUGCGGCAGAGGGGGAUGGAAUUCCGCGUGUAGCAGUGAAAUGCGUAGAUAUGCGGAGGAACACCGAUGGCGAAGGCAAUCCCCUGGGCCUGCACUGACGCUCAUGCACGAAAGCGUGGGGAGCAAACAGGAUUAGAUACCCGCGUAGUCCCUGUCUCUUAUAC
rnacentral:rRNA from 1 species